CGGGGCGUAGCUCAGUCUGGCUAGAGCUCUACGUUCGGGACGUAGAGGUCGCACGUUCAAAUCGUGUCGCCCCGA
rnacentral:tRNA from 1 species